AAUGAACGCUGGCGGCAGGCCUAACACAUGCAAGUCGAACGGAUCCUUCGGGAUUAGUGGCGGACGGGUGAGUAACGCGUGGGAACAUACCCUUUGGUACGGAAUAGCCUCGGGAAACUGGGAGUAAUACCGUAUGUGGUCGAGAGACGAAAGAUUUAUCGCCAAAGGAUUGGCCCGCGUUGGAUUAGGUAGUUGGUGGGGUAAUGGCCUACCAAGCCGACGAUCCAUAGCGGGUUUGAGAGGAUGAUCAGCCACACUGGGACUGAGAAACGGCCCAGACUCCUACGGGAGGCAGCAGUGGGGAAUCUUAGACAAUGGGGGAAACCCUGAUCUAGCCAUGCCGCGUGAUCGAUGAAGGCCUUAGGGUUGUAAAGAUCUUUCAGGUGGGAAGAUAAUGACUGUACCACCAGAAGAAGCCCCGGCUAACUCCGUGCCAGCAGCCGCCGCGG
rnacentral:rRNA from 1 species